UGUGAUGUCUAAGUAAUUAUCUUAGGCCGCAAUCCUGUCACCUUAAGGUCGAUCGGUACCUCAGAUUUUUUUAUUAAUUUUAUAAUUAAUUCUUUAAUUUCAGUUCCUAAACUUGUCUAGGUCACACCCAACAAGGGUUUCUCCUGGGCCAUUAGCUCAGGUGGUUAGAGCGCACCCCUGAUAAGGGUGAGGUCCCUGGUUCAAGUCCAGGAUGGCCCAUUCGUUGUUGGGGGUAUAGCUCAGUUGGUAGAGCGCCUGCUUUGCAAGCAGGAUGUCAGCGGUUCGAGUCCGCUUACCUCCACUGAAACCUACCCUGGUAACUAAAUUCCGGAGAAAAAUUGAAGAUGUGACUUAGAAUUGUCUAUUUGAAAAGAACCUAGCUUCUUAUCAUCAUUUUAGUUGAUAAUAUGCUGGGCUCACAUGGAUUAUUCCAUGAGAAUUCAGUAGAACCUUGAAAACUGCAUAGAUUAGAAAGAAUAAAGCAUCUCAUGGAUGCAUAAUUCUAUAUAAAAAUUUAGCUUUAAAACUAAAUUAAAAAUAUAUAGAAUUCAUGUUUAAUUUCUUGAGUAAUAGCCGAGCACAAUUUGA
rnacentral:tRNA from 1 species